rnacentral:rRNA from 1 species
UACGGAGGGUGCAAGCGUUAAUCGGAAUUACUGGCGUAAAGCGCACGCAGGCGGUCUGUUAAGUCAGAUGUGAAAUCCCCGGGCUUAACCUGGGAACUGCAUUUGAAACUGGCAGGCUUGAGUCUUGUAGAGGGGGGUAGAAUUCCAGGUGUAGCGGUGAAAUGCGUAGAGAUCUGGAGGAAUACCGGUGGCGAAGGCGGCCCCCUGGACAAAGACUGACGCUCAGGUGCGAAAGCGUGGGGAGCAAACAGG